GAGGCAGAGCCUCCUUAAGGGGAGGCAAGCCCAGGAAGGGGCCUUCCCAUCAAGAGGCUAAUCUGAUCCACCUGAUCUGAGACAUAAACCUUGAGCAGCCACAGCCUCCGUUAAAGAAAACAUCCAGCUGAGCAUCUGAUAAUUAGCCCCAAAGGGUGACACGUACAAUUUUAUUUCAAAGAAGGACUUUUAUGCUGGAAAAUAUAUUGAUAAAAAAAACAAACAAAAAAGGCCUUUUGCUUCAAAAAGAAGCCUAAGUGCUACGUUUGCAUGUUUCCUGUUGCAUGUAGACUUCCCUGCUGCAAUUCUGCCCAUUUGGGGACCAUCAGCAAACCAGAAAAAAAUUGAUUCAGACCAAAGUGCCUUGAAUAAUUUAUUGUCUACAGAAAGGCAAAGAAAGGCGGAAAUGUUUUGUUUCAACACCCAGUGUGGAUGUGGUAAUCAGACUCAACUCUGCCCAUUCCCAGCUUGAUGCUCUUCUCUCUGUUGCAUUUAUGCAAGAGCUCCGCAACCAAACUCUGCCUCGCAAAUUCUGCAGAUCAAAAGAGCUCAGCAAAUGUGGAAGAAGUGAAGAAAGGCAGAUUACAAGAGCUGGGCUGUGUGGGACACCAAGGAGGAAAAGACUUUGCUUAGAGGUAGAGCCACUGCCAGAGAGCCAGCAAGUGUGAGCCCAGCUAAUUGAAAGUCCCGAUGUAACAGCAGCUGCAACCUUGCUGGGCCAAACCCUGAGCUGGUGGAAGGCAGUGGAGGGUCGGCGUGUAAAUGGUCCCACGUCCUUCGCAGAAGAGGCAUCGGCAUUGCCUGCUGCAGGGCAGGUAGGAUUUGUAGCCCGGUGAGGCUGAUUUAAGGAAGCUGGGUCUCGCCCACCACUCUCUACCCCAAGGAGUGUGUAUUCAAAGUGUCAGUAACAGCAAGCAAAAACACGGUGGCCAAAAUGAAGUCAUGCAACGGGUCUGGUGUAGAGCGGAGAGUCAGACCUACUUCCACUACCCUGGACACUGGAGCAAACGUGAUAUUUAGUAAGAACAGGCUUGCAUACAAAAUUUUACCAGACCAUCAAGUUAUCCCACAUGCAGAAGCUUCCUUGAUGUAAUUAAUAUAAGCAAGGAUACCUUAGCCAGAAAAUCCCGCUACCUGCUAUCUUGAUAAGAACCAGCUUGUACAUUGAAAAUUCAGACUUGGUACUUUUUCAGCAGCUGAACUUUUGCAAAAGGUAGUUGGCAGCUCAGAACUAAACGACCGUGCAUACUUAUCAACCGAAAACCAUACGUCGCUGGAUUAACAGGUGACACUGCUGGAACAACGCGAAGGAAGGAAGUGCAGAAUCAGAUCUGGUUCCCCUUUACAGCCAUUUGCGUGUGCUUGCCAUCUUUUCACACUGCAUGGCUGUCAAUGACUGCACGAGAGGUAAGGCAACGGGGGAUCAGGCCCUGCCUCAAUGACAGCAGCCAGGAGAAUGCUUUUUGCAGUGCUUAGAAAGGAUUCCUCACAAAAAACCACUGGUUGCUCCUGGGGGAGCAGGAGGAGACUACAGCUCCUCAGUCACCUCUGGGAAAGGUUAGCAAAGAAACACUUACUGGAAAGGUUGACAGGAGCUGUUAGAAAAGGAUAUCUCCAGAUAAUGGCUCAGAGGAGAAAGUCCUCCAGACACAGUGGUCCCCAGUGCUGGAGCACAGGGCAAUGCCGGAGCGAGAUGUCCCAGCACCCUCCGGAACAGAGCGGGGUGGCUGGGAAGGUGCUGGGCCGCAGGGUGCUACGAUGGGCCUAAACCUUCGCUGGAAGUGCGAAGCAUCCCAUAGCAGAGACCACAGAGCACGUGGCAAGCGGGGAUGCUCUUGAGAAGCUCCGAUGUCUAGCAACACAGGAUGAAGGAUUACUCCCAUUUAACCUCCCCAUGUUGCUGUGCAAAAGCAAGACAUUUGCAACACACCUAAGCAAGUUAUGAAACAUGGCAUAUUGUUUUGUUUGGCUAGAGACAACAUUUUUCUGUUCUUUUUUUUUUUACUUUUAGAGGGAAUCGAAGCUUUUUCACUAUAUAAAUGAAGGUCCACCUAGAUUCAGAAAAACUCAUCAAGAUUAAUUCCUAAAAUAGAUAAAUGAAAGCACAUUAAACACCUAUGUAGACACAGUCAUUUGGAAUUAAAGGGUCCAUAAUUAAGUUUUACUUAAUUCACUUUGGAAGUGACUUGAGACAAAUUGAAUUAAGACUACUUUAAUUUUAAAUGAAAGUAUCCAGACCUGGGUUUAAUGUAAUUUAACUAAUCCACUUGCAUUUCACACCACUAGUUCGUUUUGGUUUAAUUUUCCCUUGUAAGCAAGCUCUUGAACAGACAUCAGGAACACAACUUUAUUUUCCCUUUUCCAUCUAGAGAGGGAGCCACAGAUCUUCUUUUCCCAACAAACUUCCCCUCUGUGCAGUUUAAGCCCAUUUCACUAUGCUUGGGGUGAGUCUCACCUGCUGUGUGCAAGAUGCCUGCUUUGACAUCCACAUCAAAAAGGAGCUAGGGAUGUUAUUUUGAUAGUGUUUCUGAGCCAUCUCCCAAGGAAGUCCCCUCUUGCAGGAUUUCCAAGCUCACCUCCAGGAGAAGGUUUCAAACUUCAGUGAUAUGCGGUAAGUGAUAAGAUUUGGAGGCCGGCUCUGGGAAGGCACUGUUGAGGAUUAUUGGCCUGGCUUGAGGUGUGCCAGGAUCCAGGUAGACUUUUAAGUGAACUGAAGUAGGGCUGAUCACAAAGGGCUUUGGCAGAGCUCAAGAGGAGAGAUGUAAUGUGCGAGGGCUGGAAAGACUCCAGCCAAUGAUCUCAGUUUAAUUAAUACCAUUUAAAAGGCUGCAAAGGUCAGUUAUAGGUUCCCUGAACUGCAGCAGUAACAUGAGGGUGGUGAUGUUCUUCCAGGGUGAUUAAAAUGAGGGAUCUCUUUGGAGCUUCAAACAAUGAGAAGCGACUAAUGUAGCCACCAGCAACUGAACAAGCAGACCCAGGGCUGGAAGAGACCUCAGGCAUUAGAGAAAAGUGUUUCCAAGGGAGGGAGAAGGUCAGUGUCACUAAUGUAGAUGGCACAUGCCCAAAUCUUGCUACAUCUGGUUUGAACUAGCAUGGUUCAAAUGAAGUUAAGUUCAUCCCAAGUCUCUUAAGGUGCCAGGUAGGCCUACAAGAGCGCAUAUAAUCCCCUGACAGUUUGGGUUUCACAUAGAGAAGGGCCGUGUUCCCAUUGGUAAUAACAACGGUGGUAGUUUUCAUCAUUUCAACUUGCAGUGGGCAUUGUCUGUUUACACAGGCUUUGGAAAAGGAAGAUGGUCUCAAAUCACAAGAAGACAAAUCAGUUCCAAAACCAUUUAGACAGUCAGACAGCUUGUCCUUCUCUUAAUACCCAAGGAAUCGUUAGAUCCACACUUUGCUUGCAAGGUCUCCCCAUAAACCCACAUCUUGUAACACCCUGCAUCUGCUAAGAGCGCUAGUAAAGUCGUCUGGUGCCCAUCCAUCUUGGUGAAAUGGUUCAAGGCUUAACAGAGGGGAGGCAUGCACAGUUCAUCCAGGCGUUACAUUUUCUGGAGUAAGGAAUGAGGUUCAGGAGUAAACUUUACCCAGAACAGAGCUGGCAAAUCAUAAAAAAGUUGAUUUUUUUUCAGCAAAAAGAAAGCUCUUCUUUGUUAGCAGUCAGAAGCUGACUUUUCUUUUCAGCCACAAACCAAAGCAGUUGGAGAAACCCUGCCAGGGAGGUGCGGCUUGGCUCCUGAGUGCCUACACACUUCCCUACAGCGCCUUUGAUUUCCUAAAUCAAACUACACUUCCCAGAAGGCACUUUCCUUGGCAGAGGGAAGGCACUGCCGCCAGGCAGGCCCAUGGCUAGGGCUAGGCAUAGUUUAGUUUUUCAGACAUUUGAUUUUUUCCAACAAGACAAGUGGGAAAACACGUUAUGUGAAAAUUUCAUUUAAUCAAAAGAAAAUCACGUCUUAUAGGAAAAAAAAAAAAAAAACCUCAGCUAAGACGGAAUAUUUUCAACCAGCCUAAUGAUAACUAUCCCACAGCUCCCUAAAUCUGGCUCCUUGCCUUCACAUAAGCAGCGAAUGUAUUGGAACUCCUGCUGUCAGCAUUUUAGCUCAUUUAUGACCCGCCACCUCUUUUCAAAUAAAUUCCUAUUGAAUUAUCUGAAGUGAACAGAGAGCAAGAGGGGAAAGGAAUUCAGGCUCGCAGGAUAAUACAGAAGUUAUUUCAGCUGGAAGAUCAAGUGCAUUGCAUCCAUUGAAAAAUAAUUUAAAAUGGUGAGGGAGGUGUUCUGGACUCAGCGGGAAGUUGAUGACUGAUUUGAAUUCAGGUUUGCGCACCCUUUUACGAGGAAAGCCUCUGGAAAAUAAAAGUCCCCAGAGAGCUCUCUUGGGAUGUGUCAAACGUUACAAGCCAAAGCAAAUUGGCGGUGUGACACCCAGCUCCAGCCAAAGCCCAAGGCGGAGGGUCCAGGUACCCGCCUUCUCCCAAGGGCAGCCGGCACGGCAGCAGAAGUGACACCGUCCCGCAGGACGGAGCUCCUCAACCAGCUCCUUAUCGCUGGGAAACGUCACUCCAGCAACGUGCGUAGCCCCAGGGAGAGGUGCCCACAGCUACCGCCUUGCCCGAGCACACAGGGUGAUACCCAAAGGGAUACGACACGGAUGUAAAAUCGCGCAGAGCUUUGGGGCACUCACCAGCUUGGUUUAACACCCCCCCGAGCAGAGGGAUGGACCAGCAAGGAGAGCGGUGCGCCGUCAACUGAAAGACGGGGUCCUGCUCCCUUCGUGACCGUUAGCUGCCUUCAUCAGCCCUUAUUCCUGCCUUAGUUUUUCCUCUCUAUGAUAAUAGAGACCCAUUUUUGUGAUUCAUUCAAGCUCUCUGGGUACAAAUUGCUAAUAAUGGCAAAUACUCCUGAAGGUAGUUUAAAGAAACAUAGCUAAUCCUGUUUGUUUUGUACCAUUGCUUACUCACACUGCUGAUAUAUACAAAUAUAUGUGUCUUUUUCUUGUUAAGAUUCAUUUCAUUUUUAAGUGCAUGUGAGAAGAGCCAGAGUUCAGCUAUACAUCUCUUGUUAUUAAUGUUUUUUAAAUGUUAAUAAGUACAUGUUGUUAUGAUUUCAUCUCCUGUGCAAAAAAAAAAAGCUGCGCUUUGAGUGUGUAUUACUCUGGGAGACCGGCCGUGUUUACAUCCUUUAUGAGAUUGGUCUUUGUUUUCUGAGGCUCACGGAGUGUCUUCUCCAUUUCACAGCACACUAAGGAUUAACACCCAAACUGUGAAAUGCAUUGUACUUCCACUGUUAAUCUGUCACAUUAAAAAA